rnacentral:lncRNA from 1 species
GACCCCCCCAGGACCCCCGUUGCCCCCCCCGGCCCCCCACCUGCAGCAGGAGGUGGCAGAUCUCCAGGUAGCCCUUCUGGGCGGCGGCGUGCAGGGGGGUGCGCUUGCUCUGAGCGUCGCUCUGGAAGUUGGGGUCCAGGUUGUCCACUGGGGGGGGGGCGUUAAAUUGAGGGGGGGGCUUCAGGGACCCCCCCCCAAUAAAAAAAAAAUGAAGCCGGGCACUCACGGAGCAUCAGCACCACCUUCUGCAGCUCGCCCUGCUUCACCGAGAGGUAGAGCUGGCGCGGGUGGAAGCGCAGCUUCUUGCGCCUGUGGGGGGGUGGGGGUGUACUGGGAGCACUGGGAGGGACUGGGAGGGACUGGGGGGGUGUGGGGGGGGGCUGGGAGGGGAUUGGGGGGGAUUGGGGGCGGUUGGGGGGGGCCCAGAGCAAGCGGGGAGGGGAGGGGGUGAUGAGGGGAAAUACUGGGAGCACUACUGGGGGCAUACUGGGAGCACUGGGAGGGACUGGGAGGGGGUGGAGGGGUGUGGGGGGGGACUGGGAGGGGAUUGGGGGGGAUUGGGAAGGGUUGGGGAGGGCCCAGAGCAAGUGGGGAGAGAGGGGAGUGGGACUGGAAAGGAUGGGGGGGUACUGGGAGCGCUACUGGGAGCAUACUGGGAGCACUGGGGCCAUACUGGGAGCCCCCAGCAGCUCCCAGAGCCCAUGGCAGGAACAGGGGAUGGAUUUUGGGGCCAUUUAGGGCAGAUUUGGGCCCAACACCAUGCCUUCUUAUACUGCUAUGGGGUUUUUUUUUGGGAACUGAUUUUUGGGUGGAAUUACGGGGGUUUUGGGUCUGACCUGUCGGCCUCCUGCACCAUUAUACGGCAGCGGAAAGGAUUUGGGAUGGAUUUUGGGGCCAUUUAG